GUGUCAGCCGCCGCGGUAAGACGAACCGAGCGAACGUUGUUCGGAAUCACUGGGCUUAAAGGGCGCGUAGGCGGGUGCUCAAGUCCGUGGUGAAAUCCUCCGGCUCAACCGGAGAACUGCCUCGGAUACUGGGCGUCUCGAGUGUGGUAGGGGUAUGCGGAACUAUCGGUGGAGCGGUGAAAUGCGUUGAUAUCGAUAGGAACUCCGGUGGCGAAGGCGGCAUACUGGACCACUACUGACGCUGAUGCGCGAAAGCCAGGGGAGCAAACGGGAUUAGAUACCCUGGUAGUCC
rnacentral:rRNA from 1 species